UCCAGACUCCUACGGGAGGCAGCAGUGAGGAAUAUUGGUCAAUGGGCUUACGCCUGAACCAGCCAAGUCGCGUGAGGGAAGACUGCCCUAUGGGUUGUAAACCUCUUUUGUCAGGGAGCAACGCCGGCUACGUGUAGCCGGACUGAGAGUACCUGAAGAAAAAGCAUCGGCUAACUCCGUGCCAGCAGCCGCGGUAAUACGGAGGAUGCGAGCGUUAUCCGGAUUUAUUGGGUUUAAAGGGUGCGCAGGCGGAUUUUUAAGUCAGCGGUCAAAUCGUGGGGCUCAACCCCAUCCAGCCGUUGAAACUGGCGUUCUUGAGUGGGCGAGAAGUAUGCGGAAUGCGUGGUGUAGCGGUGAAAUGCAUAGAUAUCACGCAGAACCCCGAUUGCGAAGGCAGCAUACCGGCGCCCAACUGACGCUGAAGCACGAAAGCGUGGGUAUCGAACAGGAUUAGAUACCCUGGUAG
rnacentral:rRNA from 1 species